UUCCCGCUCUCCCAGUCCACCUCUACGUGCUCCUUCUCUCGCAGUCGUCUCGCACCAUCGAACUGCCGAUUUCUAUUCCUGCACUCCUCUAUAUUUCUCGGUCGAUCAUUUCUGAUUUCUCUUUGCUCCUUUUCUUACGGUCUUCCCGCACCAUCAAAUAACACCAACCGGCAAUGGCAUUGCCAACGACAGACUUCCUCGGAUUUGAAGCUCUAAAGCUCGAGUUCAUUUCCUGACGGCAUCAGCAAUGGUAGACCACUUCUUAGAGUGCAGUCAGAAGUGGGAGACCUCCUUGGAUUUGAAGCUUGAGUUCAUUUCCCGACGAGGCAGAUUUCUCAUAAUCAGGCCACGACCUUCUUGGUUCAACGAAGGCCCUCUCUCGUUUUCCUUUGUUCAGAAAUAGCCUCCUCGUCUCAACUUCUGUGCACAUCUCAUAUCCUUGUCUGUUCACCACAGAUGGAAGGUAAGAUUGAAAACCUCCAUGACCUAGGAUAGUUAUCCCCCUUUUUAGGAUUGAACAUUUGCCACGUAUGUUGAUAUUAGUAGGGAAUCUGGUAUUGUCUUCUUGAACUUUUGUUCGUUCAUCACAUUCUUGUUGAAUUUGGUGUUAUCUUCUUGAAUUUUGUUUCUAGAUUUGCUUAAACUUCUGUAAGUACGUUAGUAGAAUCAUGUUGAUUAGCUUAAGGGAUUCAGGUGGUUGGGCUGUAGAUCUCUGUUGAUAUGCUAGUAAAAAGUAAGUUAUUAUAAUAUUCCCCUGUUGAUAUGCUAUUGAGUAUUUUUUUUUAUCUGAUUCAUAUUCUAAUAUUCUCCUAAUGGUAUGCUAGUAAAUAGUAAGUUAUUAUAAGUUUCUCUGUGCUAUCCACCGGACAGCACAAUCGGCAACAGUAGUGUCAACAGCGUGGGUUUCGACUACCCCUAUCAUGUUUCACUCGUACAGACGAAGGUAAUUCUCCAACUCGAAAUUUUUUUUAUUUGGUUUGGUAGUGACUCAAUAAUUUCUAAUGCUUUAUUAUAUCUAUCUGUUUCAUAUUAUUUCAUAAUCUUAGUUUCUCCAACUCGUACAGACAAAGGUACAUGAUUUUAUUGACCUAAUCUACCCCAACUGUUAUUAUAUUUCUCUGUUUUAUAUUAGUUCUUAUCUGGCAGUUGGUAUUUUAAUUUCCAAUGCUUUAUUAUUCUUUUCAUUUUAUAGAUUUGUGAUUGCCACUUGGUUCUUGGGUUAUCUCAAUAUUUCCUUGACUUGCUAAUUCUUACUAAAUUGUUUAGACUGGGUUAUCUUAGUAUCUCAGAUUUCCUUGAUUUGGGUUAUCUCAAUAUCUCAAACAUGCUAUAGCCCUAUGCGUUUGUAAAUAUACUCAUUUGGGUUUAGAGUUUAGAGGGCAAUGCUUUUGAUAUCAACAUUGUGUCUAUAAAUUUCUCACAAAAAUGGAAUAUUGAGUUUGCAAUGGAACAACAAAGAUCUACUCAUAUCUUUGUGAUUUCAUAAUUUGUUGGAAUCUUAUUCUUGACAAAAAGUCACAAUCAAAAACAUCAUUUUGAUGAAGCCUAGUUACUUGAUUCAUAUUUUUCUUAUUCAAUUCUUCAACAUUCUAUUGAAUUUCUGGCUUCAGUUCCUCGAAUUCACUCAAAGCACUCGAUAAUUUCUAAUGAAGAACAUCAAAAGUAUAAAAAAACACUUGAUGAAAAAACUUUUUCUCACAGGUAUAAAAAUGGUAGUAACACCUUCUAAAAAGAAUUGUUUACAUUGUACUGACACCUUGGCAUGACAUAGUUUAUGUAAUCAGACUGGAGAACAUAAAAGCACAUUAGGAUUAUUGGUUUGGAUUUAAUAGAUAAAGAAAAACCUCGUUCUGCAGUCCUUAUUAUAUUUUUACCAACAUUUAAACAAUCUCUUAAUGAUCUGUCAAAAUUGUCAAAAGAAGGUUCAGUUCUAAGCUUUUAGUUUCUGAACACCACCUUCUACUGAUUCAGCUUGAUGCACCUGCCGUCUUUGUGAUUAACGACAAUGGAUGUGUGGCAACAACUUGCCCCUGAUUAGCCAACAGUUAUUUUGGUGGUCAUGGCUUCUGGUACUAUUGACAUUUCGUUUGCUACGGACAACCCUAAAAUCAAAGCCAUUCUCUGGGUUGGUUAUCCUGGCCAAGAAGGUAGACGUGCCAUUGCAGAUGUUGUUUAUGGAAAAUACAACCCUGGGUCCUUGCCUCUUCCCUGGUCCAUCAGGAUGAAAAUUGCAUUUGGUCCUGCAAAAGGCCUUGCCUUUCUUCAUGAAGAAGUUGAAAGGCCAAUCAUAUAUAGGGACUUCAAAACAUCUAAUAUCCUGUUAGAUGCGAAAAGUGACUAAAAGUACAAGUCUAAACUCUUUUUAAAAAUAUUAUUGCUCUUCAAAUGAAAUGUUGUUCCGGGAAUAUAAUGCAAAGCUUUCAGACUUGAACUUGCCAAAGAUGGUCCGGAGGGUGAUAAGACUCAUGUUUCUGGGAUUUGCUAUGUCCCACCUAGGAGAUUUCCUAAAACUAAGAAGACCAGAAAACGUGGUCAAAGUUUGUACUGAUGUGGGCUUUUUAGGCAAUCUAUGUUUUCUUUUUGUGGGACAGUUGUAUGAGUUAGGGGUACCCAAUGGCUUCUAUUUCUCCUGGUAGAUUUUUAUAUCUUCUACAAACAUGUUGUGUACUACUUUUCCAAAUAGAACAUCUAAAUCCAGAAGACACUUAAUUCAGUUUGCCGACAUCAUUAUACAUCUAAAACCUUCACAAGGCAAUAGAGUUGGUUGGAUUCCUACUUUGUGGUUGUCAGUUUUAUUAGAUUGAAUGAUUAUUACCCUUGUAGUUGUUAACACUUGAUAUCCAUACCCAUACUUUGCCCAGAAGUCUUAAAAUUUGCUUUUCUUAGGGUGAGGUGUGAUACAAUUCUUGGGUAGUAAGAAUGAUUUAACAUGGAUUUCUUUUGACAUGGAGAAAAAGCAACUGGGACCUUCUUAUUGAAUCUGCGGCAUUUGCUCGUCCUGCUUGCUUGCAUACAUUGCCAAUGGUGGAAAGUUUUUAUGGUUAACAUGAUUGAUAAACCAGCAUUUUAAUAAUCCAUCUGCAAUGGGGCACCACUAUGAAUAAUUAUUGUUUGACAUCACUAAAGGAUAGUUUUACUUGAAGUUUGGAGAUAAAUGUAUUCAAUUUGAUCUUUACUUUUUGGGCUAAAGUAUGCCAUUUUUUCCUUCUACAUAUUGAUUGACAUUCCAACUUGAUAUCCAUACCCAUAAAUGUAUUCAAUCAGAAUCCAGUGGCAAUACAGAUGGUAGAGAUAAGAUUCAGAGUGUAGAUUCUAUUAUUAACUCCAUGGGGCCUAUUGUAGAGGAGUCCAAGCAUUUAGAAAAUGGUGAUGCCUCCAUAGUUGCUCAAGGUAAUGAAUUGGAAGAUGGGAUCUCUAGCAAAUAAAACAAACCUCAAUCCAUGGUACCGAUUUCCAUCCUACACCCAGAAAUAAAGCAGGAAGCUGAAGCUGAAGCUCAAGACCUAGAAGAAGGAGAUGAUGAUGAUAAUGAUGAUGAUGAUGAAGGACCAGUUUCAAAUGAAGAAGCUGAAGGUGUGAUGUUUGGAAGCUCUGAAGCCGCCAAACGGAUCAUGGAGUUGGUGCAAGGAACAAGCACUAGUUCUCACUUUAGUUUUGAAAGCUCCCUUGAUCAUUCUCAGAGAAUUGAUGGACAGAUUGCUACGGACACAGAUGAAGAAGUGGCCGGUACGAUCAG